AUCCUCUCUGUUGUGAUUCAUCCCCCCGGGGCCCUACAGUUUCUCCUUCCUGACUCUUACAUUUCUUUGGAUGGCAUCAUUAUUCUGGGAUUACAGUUAGGUGCCAAGCACUGUGGAUUCUGCCUCUCAGUGUCCAGACACCCAUUUUCCUUCCCACUGUUCCUUCCCCAUGGAGAAGCCUGUGGCUGGCUGACAGCAGAGAGAGAUGCUCAACUUGGAGAAGGUGUUACCUGGGCCAGGUGGGGAAGGUUUGUUUGCAGAGCAAAGAAGUGAAGCCUAUUCAACGUGAAAAAGAUGAGGAUGAAGACCUUUAUUAUGAUCCACUUCCAAGUAAUGAACACACUGGAGAAAGUCAGACAGUCAAAACAAUGUCCCAGACUCCGUGAAGUUCCUGGGUAGAGAAGGAGACAGACAUAUACCAUACCUAAUAAUUGGAUGUCCGAGAGAAUGAGAGAAUGGCAGAAAGAACUUUAGAGCAUGGGUAUGAUGGCUAGAGCUUGAGCAGCCAUUGUGGACAUCAGAUGAACUUGAAAGUGAAAACUAUGAGCUGAAUACGACAAAGCAAACAGAUAGAAAACUGGAUUCAUUAUGACAUUGCAAAGCUGCCAGACCAGCUCUAGUCUGCUUCCCCCUAAUCUUCCUUACUAAGAG
rnacentral:lncRNA from 10 species